CCUGCAAAACGAAUCUAAGUUCCCCCUUAACCCUCUUUUUCCUCCCCAGACAAACCCAACCCAAAUGUGAUAGUUAAGGGCUAUUUAAAGGGGGUACAGCCCCUUUAAAAAAGGACACAACCUCCACCAGCGGAUAACCCCUGUACACCCAACCCCGUGGGCCUUAAAGCAGCCACCCCCAAAGAUUGCGUCAAAGCUCCAUCAACCAAAAACCCCCAAAACCAAUGCGACUCCCUACACCCACAGCAGGCCAACCUAUAACAAUAGAUGAAUCAAUGCUAGAACGAGUAACCAGGACACUAUGUCCCCCCAAGCGCCAGCCUGUAUACCAUUAACAGUAAAACCUCAAUAAUAACCACCCCCACCAUUGAACCCACCCUGUCAACCCAACUCAGGGGCGCACACUGGAGUGAUCAAAAUCUACAAAAGGAACUCGGCAAACCUAAGACCCGACUGUUUACCAAAAACAUAGCCUUCAGCCAAACAAGUAUUGAAGGUGAUGCCUGCCCAGUGACACUAUGUUUAACGGCCGCGGUA
rnacentral:rRNA from 1 species